rnacentral:tRNA from 1 species
AAAAUUAAUAAAAAAAGACUGAAGAGAGUGGGAUUCGAACCCACGCCCCCGAAGGGACUGGUGCCUUAAACCAGCGCCUUAGACCGCUCGGCCAUCUCUCCACAUU